rnacentral:rRNA from 1 species
UACGUAGGGGGCCAGCGUUGCUCGGAAUUACUGGGCGUAAAGGGUUCGUAGGCGGUGUGGCAAGUCGGAAGUGAAAUCUUUGGCUCAACCCAGAGGCUGCUCCCGAAACUGCCAUGCUAGAGUGCGGGAGAGGCGAGUGGAAUUACAGGUGUAGCGGUGAAAUGCGUAGAUAUCUGGAGGAACACCGGUGGCGAAGGCGGCAUUCUGGACCAUAACUGACACUGAGAGACGAAAGCCAGGG